CAGCGCUAGUUCAGCUUCAGCGCCAAAACGUGACAAUGUAUUUUGCAAUGAUAAUACUGAGUACAGCAAAGUUGAUUCAGGCCAAAGAGAGUCCUCCUUUGGUCUUUGUGGUAUCAGCAGGACUUGGAGAUACUGUAACCCUUCAUUGUGAAUCAGAAAAUGAGAGGGAGAAGAAGGUGUUUGUGUCUUUCAUCUGAUCAUUCCAAACGUAACUA